UCCCUCGUGGCGCAACCGGAUAGCGCGUCGGACUGUUAUUUCUCCUCUGGGUAUCUUGAAAUCUCCUAGGAGUAGCAGGGUAUCCGGAGGUUGUAAGCCCAAGCCUUACUGAGGGAG